rnacentral:rRNA from 1 species
UACGUAGGAGGCAAGCGUUGUCCGGAAUCACUGGGCGUAAAGAGCGUGUAGGCGGUCUGCCAAGUCUGUUGUGAAAGCGCCUGGCUUAACUGGGCGAGGUCGACGGAAACUGGCAAGCUGGAGGCCGGUAGAGGAGGGUGGAAUUCCCGGUGUAGUGGUGAAAUGCGUAGAGAUCGGGAGGAACACCAGUGGCGAAGGCGGCCCUCUGGGCCGGGACUGACGCUGAGACGCGAGGGCGUGGGGAGCGAACGGG